rnacentral:rRNA from 1 species
GGCAGUAGGGAAUCUUCGGCAAUGGGGGGCAACCCUGACCGAGCAACGCCGCGUGAGUGAAGAAGGUUUUCGGAUCGUAAAGCUCUGUUGUAGAGAAGAACGUGUGUGAGAGUGGAAAGUUCACACAGUGACGGUAACUUACCAGAAAGGGACGGCUAACUACGUGCCAG